GUACUGUGAAGGAAAGGUGAAAAGGACCCCGGGAGGGGAGUGAAAAAGAACCUGAAACCUUGUGCUUACAAACAGUGGGAGGAAGGAAACUUCUGACUGCGUACUUUUUGUAGAACGGUCCGGCGAGUUACUGUUGCCAGCGAGGUUAAAUACUAAGAAGGUAUGGAGCCGAAGGGAAACCAAGUCUGAAAAGGGCGAGAAGAGUUAGUAACAGUAGACCCGAAACCGGGUGACCUACCCAUGUCCAGGUUGAAGUUACCGUAAAAGGUAAUGGAGGACCGAACACACGUCUGUUGAAAAAGGCGGUGAUGAGGUGUGGGUAGCGGAGAAAUUCCAAUCGAACUCGGAGAUAGCUGGUUCUCCUCGAAAUAGCUUUAGGGCUAGCCUUGAUAGAAGUCUAACGGAGGUAAAGCACUGAAUCGUCGCGGGUCCCCAAAAGGAUACCAACAUGUAUCAAACUAAGAAUGCCGUCAAGAUAUCAUCAGGAGUCAGACUACGUGAGAUAAGUCUCGUGGUCAAAAGGGAAAGAGCCCAGACCGACAGCUAAGGUCCCAAAGUGUGUGUUAAGUGGAAAAGGAUGUGGGAUUUCGAAGACAACUAGGAUGUUGGCUUAGAAGCAGCCAUACAUUUAAAGAGUGCGUAAUAGCUCACUAGUCGAGAAAACCUGCGCCGAAAAUGUAACGGGGCUAAAACACGACACCGAAGCUACGGAUUUCCUACUAGGUAGGAAGUGGUAGAGGAGCAUCCUGCAAGGACGAAGCCAAAGUGAGAGCGAUGGUGGACGAAACAGGAGAGAGAAUGCCGGAAUGAGUAGCGAGAUACAUGUGAGAAACAUGUAGGCCGAAUAUCUAAGGAUUCCUGGGUAAAGCUAAUCUUCCCAGGGUUAGUCGGGGCCUAAGGCGAGGACGAGAGUCGUAGUCGAUGGAUAACAGGUUGAUAUUCCUGUACUACACAUAAUCAGAACUGUGGGGACGCAGGAGGAUAGGGAAACCGGGGAAUGGAAAGACCCGGUCAAGCGCAAAGCUGUGGGAGAUAGGCAAAUCCGUCUCCUGUAAGUGAAGCGUGAUGAGGACUGAAAAAAAGUAAGGAAGUUUCCGAAUCCACACUGCCGAGAAAAGCCGCUAUUGCGUUAUGUGUACCCGUACCGUAAACCGACACAGGUAGAUGAGGAGAAAAUCCACAGGCCGACGGGAGAAGUGUUGUUAAGGAACUCGGCAAAAUGACCCCGUAACUUCGGGAUAAGGGGAGCCUACGCGAGUAGGCCGCAGAGAAUAGUCUCAAGCGACUGUUUAGCAAAAACACAGGUCUAUGCUAAAUCGAAAGAUGAUGUAUAUGGGCUGACGCCUGCCCGGUGCUGGAAGGUUAAGGGGAAGUGUUAGAGCAAUCGAAGCACUGAACUUAAGCCCCAGUAAACGGCGGCCGUAACUAUAACGGUCCUAAGGUAGCGAAAUUCCUUGUCAGGUAAGUUCUGACCCGC
rnacentral:rRNA from 1 species